CACGUAGGGCGCAAGCGUUGUCCGGAAUUAUUGGGCGUAAAGAGCUCGUAGGCGGUCUGUUGCGUCUGCUGUGAAAACUCGGGGCUUAACCCCGAGCCUGCAGUGGAUACGGGCAGACUAGAGGUAGGUAGGGGAGAAUGGAAUUCCCGGUGUAGCGGUGAAAUGCGCAGAUAUCGGGAGGAACACCGGUGGCGAAGGCGGCGCGCUGGACCACUACUGACGCUGAGGAACGAAAGCUAGGGGAGCAAACAGG
rnacentral:rRNA from 1 species